UACGUAGGGGGCAAGCGUUGUCCGGAAUUAUUGGGCGUAAAGCGCGCGCAGGCGGCUUUUUAAGUCUGGUGUAUAAGUGCGGGGCUCAACCCCGUGAGGCACUGGAAACUGGAGAGCUGGAGUGCAGAAGAGGAGAGCGGAAUUCCACGUGUAGCGGUGAAAUGCGUAGAGAUGUGGAGGAACAUCAGUGGCGAAGGCGGCUCUCUGGACUGUAACUGACGCUGAGGCGCGAAAGCGUGGGGAGCAAACAGG
rnacentral:rRNA from 1 species